ACUGACGCAGCAUGCCGCGUGAUGAGAAGGCCUUCGGGUUGUAAAGUUCUUUCGGUAUUGAGGAAGGUUGUUGUGUUAAUAGCACGACAAAUUGACGUUAAAUACAGAAGAAGCACCGGCUAACUCCGUGCCAGCAGCCGCGGUAAUACGGAGGGUGCGAGCGUUAAUCGGAAUAACUGGGCGUAAAGGGCACGCAGGCGGACUUUUAAGUGAGGUGUGAAAUCCCCGGGCUUAACCUGGGAAUUGCAUUUCAGACUGGGAGUCUAGAGUACUUUAGGGAGGGGUAGAAUUCCACGUGUAGCGGUGAAAUGCGUAGAGAUGUGGAGGAAUACCGAAGGCGAAGGCAGCCCCUUGGGAAUGUACUGACGCUCAUGUGCGAAAGCGUGGGGAGCAAACA
rnacentral:rRNA from 1 species